AUUGAACGCUGGCGGCAUGCUUUACACAUGCAAGUCGAACGGUAACAGGCCGCAAGGUGCUGACGAGUGGCGAACGGGUGAGUAAUGCAUCGGAACGUGCCCAGUCGUGGGGGAUAACUACUCGAAAGAGUAGCUAAUACCGCAUACGAUCUAUGGAUGAAAGCGGGGGACCGUAAGGCCUCGCGCGAUUGGAUCGGCCGAUGUCAGAUUAGGUAGUUGGUGGGGUAAAGGCUCACCAAGCCAACGAUCUGUAGCUGGUCUGAGAGGACGACCAGCCACACUGGGACUGAGACACGGCCCAGACUCCUACGGGAGGCAGCAGUGGGGAAUUUUGGACAAUGGGCGAAAGCCUGAUCCAGCAAUGCCGCGUGCAGGAAGAAGGCCUUCGGGUUGUAAACUGCUUUUGUACGGAACGAAACGGCUCUGGUUAAUACCCGGGGCUAAUGACGGUACCGUAAGAAUAAGCACCGGCUAACUACGUG
rnacentral:rRNA from 1 species